CUCCCGAGCACCAAGAAGGAAACCAAACGUCCUGCUAUUUCCACAGAGCAGCACGGGCGUGCAGAGCUGAAAACGGAGAAGCUGUGUUUUUUCAGACUGUUGGACGUUAAAGGUUGCAGAGCCCUUGGGGAUGGCGGGAGGCGGGGAGAGGGCACAGCAGGCGGCGUCAAUUUUGCUCAGAACAGGAAAGGGCCGGUGUGAUGGCCAGGCCGGGAAUGGAAGCGUAAGAACGUCUAUUUCCUCUUCAGGGCAAUCAUCACAGGGAGCCAGCUGUGAGCGGCUUCUUUCGAGGACACUGGAGAGGCGUGCGUUGGAGCAGAGCCUUUGGGGCGCUGGCUGCAAGGAGACAGAGUUCAGGUGAGGCUCGAGCGCUGAAGUGGAGGAGCGGCUGACGCGAGCGUUGCAGGUGGACGCGGACGGUGAUGUGCCCAGACGGCCCUGCCCCGCCCGGGAGGGAGGGACCAGGUCCGCAGAGCGGGUGGUGGGCACAGCCGCGUUCUCAACAGAAGGCAGCGUGAUUACGCGGGGGCCCCUUUGAAAUAAGAAGGGUUUUUAACAAUUACUCUCUGAAGCAACUUUGUUUUCAGAAAAGAAGGCAGAGAAAAAUAAACACCU